rnacentral:rRNA from 1 species
AGAGUUUGAUCAUGGCUCAGAUUGAACGCUGGCGGCAGGCCUAACACAUGCAAGUCGAGCGGAUGAAGGGAGCUUGCUCCCGGAUUCAGCGGCGGACGGGUNGAGUAAUGCCUAGGAAUCUGCCUGGUAGUGGGGCACAACGUUCCGAAAGGAGCGCUAAUACCGCAUACGUCCUACGGGAGAAAGUGGGGGAUCUUCGGACCUCACGCUAUCAGAUGAGCCUAGGUCGGAUUAGCUAGUAGGUGGGGUAAUGGCUCACCUAGGCGACGAUCCGUAACUGGUCUGAGAGGAUGAUCAGUCACACUGGAACUGAGACACGGUCCAGACUCCUACGGGAGGCAGCAGUGGGGAAUAUUGGACAAUGGGCGAAAGCCUGAUCCAGCCAUGCCGCGUGUGUGAAGAAGGUCUUCGGAUUGUAAAGCACUUUAAGUUGGGAGGAAGGGCAGUAAGUUA